UCAGUUUUGUUCCUGUUAUUCCAGGGCGGUCUAAGAAGGAAAGGGGAGAAAGCUUAGGAGCUUUGUUUUCCACUGAAAGCAUGAGAGCUUUUCUGAGAUCCUUUCUCAGCCCUACUCCUGGCCUGACCGAUCUUCUUAAUAUGGGUAGGCUCUUCAGGGGACCACCAGAUGGAGGUGGUCCCAGCUCAAGAGCAUCGAAGGGUCCCUGUACAGGGUACCCGAGCUGUGCCCUCCUCCCUCCAGCCAGCUCUCACCCCCACUCUUGCUGGCUCUGUUUGCAGGAGAUCCUAUCUGCCUGCUGGGCUUUCGACCUGCAGGAGAGGCCCAGCUUCACCCUGCUGAUGGACAUGCUGGAGAAGCUGCCCAAGUUGAACCGGCGGCUCUCCCACCCCGGCCACUUCUGGAAGUCUGCUGAUCGCUGGCGGAGCUGCCUCUACGGAAAAGGGCGUGACGGCCACCUGGACUUCCAGAACUCCUGUCCGGCUCUGGAGGAAUAGUUGUAGGCCUGGCUGCCUUGCAUGCACCGGGGGCUUUCUUCCUCCUAAUCGACACCCAGUACCGUGACUUCCGCUCAAACGCAAACUGAUGUGCGGGCACUAACCCAGGGGAUGCGAUCUCUGCCGCUCCAGGCGUCUCCCGAGACUUCUUCUUUCGCUUUGUUGUUUUUCAAACUGGCCCCCUCCCCUCUCCAUGGCCUGCGUGUGCUUGAAUAACUACUGUCCACGAGGACCUCCUAACAGACCCCCCCACCCCGCCCAGCAGAGGUGCCUCCCCCAGACGGGACUUCAUUCUCUAACUCUUCCUCUGGGGGCAGCGCCCAGGUGUCCCUGUCUCCCCACUAACACCCCCGUGAGACCGACACGCACCCCCCGCCCCCACAAGCACAUCGGCCUCCCACUGGCUGGGUCCACAGUGCGGGGCAGGGCUUUUGCUUGGCUGUUAACCUGCAAGGUUUUGUCCAACAAGGAGUGGGAUGAUUUCAGAGCUGCCCAAGGCCAGCCCUCUCUGGAGGGGCGCUGGAGGGCGUGGACGCCAAAGUCCCGUUGCUGUGAAAGACACUAGCUGGGAAGGGCUUUGUCCACAGCGGUGCCCUCAGGAAAGCGGUCCUAAAACAAAGGGGGCCUGUCGCCAAACAAUUUCACUGACGAGAGCAAAGCUUCUGCUGCCAGUCCCCACAAUGUUACUCCCUUUACAGACAGAAAGUACCAGACCCCAAGUCAGUGUUCAAGAGUGUGGCUGAGAGGCCACACACAAUCACUGUGCUGCUUCCCAAAUGCAGGUCUCCAGGGUCCCCCCAAAGGAGUCCAGGUCUUUGGAGGCAUGUUCUGAGAGUCUGCAUUUCUACUUGCCUCCUAGAGGGUCCUGAUGCCCCCCUCCCCGCAAUGUUUGGGGACCAUUUCCAGAAGGAUUGUGUGAGGCCACUCUCAGCACUUGGGGUCCGGUUUCUCUUUUCUCCCAGUUGCACUCGGAGCAGAGCCCUCCUGGGCCGCAAGUGAGAAAGUAGCUCAGUCGAGCCCACGGCAAUGACAGCCUGCCAGGUGCCGGGGACUGUGUCACUAACCAGCUCAUGUCCCCCAGGAGGGAUGUGCCAAGUGUUUGCACCCCGGCCAAGUCUGACCAGGAGCAGCUCUGCCAAGGCUGUUGGCUUGCAGCCGUUCUUGCUUCUUGCUAGGGCGGGUCCUCUGUGGAGCUUCUGAAACCGGCCCGCUCCUUAGCUAACAUUAUCCUACUUCCUUCCGAUCAAGACCAGUGUGGCUGUAACCCAUGUUUUUGUUCCUCUUUGCAGCAUUAACAGCAGCAAAGUUGUACCCCGGUUUGAAAGGUUUGGCUUGGGUGUCCUGGAGUCCAGUAAUCCAAAGAUGUAGCCAGCCAUGCAGUUUCUCUGCCGAUUUUUCUUUCUUUCUUAAAUGUGUUUCUAAAGCAUCCAAAUAACCACCAUGACACAAACAAAAACACUCUUUGAAACAUCGGUCCACCCUCCUAAGUGCUGCAGACCAGGAGUGUGAGUCCUCCACUCACAUGUUCAUCCACAAAAACACCGGGAGAUAGAGCUGCACCUGCUGUUUCUUAAAGUGAUUUCACCAACAACCAGACCUGCCCCAACAGGCAGCGAAUGUUUACAUGUAUGUUUCUGGGGCGUGAACUCAAUGCUUUACAACAGAUAAUAAUACAAAGUGGUCCACAGAGGCACUCUGGCACCACUGGCCGGGAUGGCGGAACUGGCCUUCCCCUCUGGAGGAUCCUGGCGGCGGUGCGGAAAAGGAAGAAAAGCAUCGUGACUGUGGCUGUUCUCGGGGUGGGAUAGGGACCACAAAGUUUGACCUGGACUCUGCUUUGGCCCUAAACCCCAUCCGUGGGGAAUGUCCCUGUAGGGUUUUCCUCCUAUCCUAACAAAGGGACACUGUCCUUUUUUCCUCUGGCAAAGGAAACCCUGGCUAGGAACCAAGCUGGAUUAUGAGGGUCAGGAGUUCCCAGAGGGCUUGGGUUCCCUUUUGACCCCAAUAAUUCGGCCCAUACCUGCUGGAAAAGUUGAAACAGAUUAAAUCCAAGUAAUGUCUGGAUUGAUCCAGGGGUUGGUGGCCAGGGUUUCCGGCACCUGUAGAGAGGUCUCUUUCACACAGCUUCCAGGAAGACACCAAGGAGAUGGCACUCAGGGCUUCAGCUUUUUAGACCCAUCCCAGUCCUGGCUGACAUUUGACCCCAGAGCUAAGGCCCAGCCUGGCAGCUGCGUGUACCAUGAAGGCUUGCUCAGGAAGAACAGAGAGGGGAGGGGGAGGGAGAAGUGGCAGGCAGCAGGUUCCUGAGCCCACCCUCCCAGCCACAGGGUGACCUGGCUCUUCAGAAGCCCCAUCAGUCAUGCCAAGGUUCUGGAAUUGCCCACCCCUUCUCCUCCAAUCCUGUUGGAAGCCCAUAGCCACGCCUGACUCUUCCACUGUCCUUGUUCUGAGCUCUUAGCUAAGGCGGGAGGCCUGUGCCCCUCCACACUGUUGAUCUAGACCACCCAGUCCACCAGGCCUCAGAGCCUCCCCUGAACCGAGUCAGGACCAUCUGUGCAUGUAUAUUUGCACCAGAAGGAGGGGCUUGACUGGGGGAUGUCCAUCAUGAUGUGAGCACAUCCUGCCUAUCUUCAUUAGAAGCUGUCACCUAAGGAGAACAGUUCCAAAUGGCAAAGAAGCCUUUAGUGGGUGUUACGCCAUGUUAGGCUUCCAACCAGGACUGACCAAGGGUGAUGAGGGUGGAGAUGUGGUUGGAUUCAGACCCAGAACCUGUGUCCGUGCUCUGAGCCAAGAUGGGGGCAUGUGGCCCUCCCAUCCCUUUCAUUUAGACCCACCUAGCAAAGCUCCCAAUCUUCAGAGCCUUCCCUGGAGUCUGGCCAAAAUGUCAGACGAAGCAGGCUACUGCCUAGAAGUGGUAGGGCUGCCUUCCUGAGUCAAGCGCCCCUCAGGCGGGCCACCUUCGCCUGGAGAGCACAGCUGUGCAGUAGUGUGAGGUAUCCAGGCUCCCGCUGCCCAUCCACGCCCCAGACCUGAGCUCCUUAACCCUUCCCGGUCAGUGUGUAUGGGGAAGACCAGAGAUGUAAGCCAGCUGGAUUCAGCUCUGGUGGGGGGGGUCUUUCCUCUUCUGUGGGACUGCUGGCUUCACCCCCUCAUCCCUUGGCCUCCCCGAUGGGUGUCACGCCUAUGGGUCAGUUCAAGAAGCUUUCAUCGAGCACUGACGGUGUCUUGAGCAAGUGUAGGGGACCCCGCGAUGGGAGCAGUCACGGUCCCUGCCCUUAAGGAACUGACGCUCAGCCAGGAACCCUGAGGGGUUGCUGAAGGCCUGGAGGACAGGCCCUUCCUCUUCAGGACCCCGGACAGCCACCCCGCUCUUGGCCUGGCCUCUGUGCUGCCUGUCCUUUAAGAGAAACGUGGUCCCCUUCUCCCUGUCAAAGUGACUGUGAAUUGAGGUUGGGAAGACGUGCCUGCCCUUCUGUGUGCUCUCCCUGUCUGCCAUGGAAACACAUGAAGGACGGCCAGAUACUGUGAAUUCAGCACUCACGGCCAACUGUGAAGGGGAUGGAGAAGCUGGGACCCCCUCCUCGGCGAGACCUGUGGGGGCUGCAGAGGUCCCCACCAGGGUCUGAGAGUGGAGCCCAAGCUCUGGUCCUUCGCAGCACAGCCCCAGUCCCCAGCAUCCCCUCCAAAACCCUAGGGCCCGUGUCCCCUCUGCCUUUAACCCCCAGAGCCGCAGCCCCUGGCUCUCCAUCAGCUCGAGGUCUUCAAUCAAGCUCCCCGUUGGUAGCGGGCGGUGUAGCAAUGUUGACCUCUCCGUGUCACCAAGUCGGUGCAGGGCGCCGGAAUCCCUCUGUCCUCUUGUGGCAUUCUCUUUGUGAUCCGAGGGGGCAGCCGUGUUCCCUGUACGCCUGCAUCGCUGUUCCGUGUUGAUUAGGGGGCCUGGCGGAGACAUAAAUGUGAAGCCGUUAGGGAGCUCGUGUGAUGCUACAACGUUAGCCCGGAUUUCAUUAGUGUAUGUAAAGCCAGUGUCCUCCGUGGCCACGGGCGCACACUUGCUUUUUUUGAAUGUGAUGUAAAAUUUGUACAGUGAAAGUUUUUAUAUUUUCUAUCAACUGCAUUUGUCUUCCAGAAAUGCUAUUAAUUUAAAUUAAAAUGGUUAGUAUUAAUGAACGUGCUGUAUCCGUUUUUUUGUCACUGGCAAGAACACAUCCUUUGUGCCAGGCCAAGCCUGGGUGUCUGGAGUUUGUGAAUAAAAUUGUACCAAGGUG